UUUCCCAUUUAUUUGCUGCUCUAGUCUCUCAGUGGUAGGAGCAGUUAUACGCAUGGGAUAAAAUAAUACUGGGCCAUUGUAAAUUGGGAUGAAUUUGUGUUUUGUCUCUUCUACAUGGUCCAGACAUUG